rnacentral:rRNA from 1 species
GAUGAACGCUGGCGGCGUGCUUAACACAUGCCAGUCGAACGGAAAGGCCCAAGCUUGCUUGGGUACUCGAGUGGCGAACGGGUGAGUAACACGUGGGUGAUCUGCCCUGCACUUCGGGAUAAGCCUGGGAAACUGGGUCUAAUACCGGAUAGGACGAUGGUUUGGAUGCCAUUGUGGAAAGUUUUUUCGGUGUGGGAUGAGCUCGCGGCCUAUCAGCUUGUUGGUGGGGUAAUGGCCUACCAAGGCGUCGACGGGUAGCCGGCCUGAGAGGGUGUACGGCCACAUUGGGACUGAGAUACGGCCCAGACUCCCACGGGAGGCAGCAGUGGGGAAUAUUGCACAAUGGGCGCAAGCCUGAUGCAGCGACGCCGCGUGGGGGAUGACGGCCUUCGGGUUGUAAACUCCUUUCGCUAGGGACGAAGCGUUUUUGUGACGGUACCUGGAGAAGAAGCACCGGCUAACUACGU